AAACAUUUGUUGACCAAGGACUGGUAAGAAACUAGAUAAUCACAUUUGUGUAUAAUCAUCCUUACGUAUAAUACAACUUUUACGUAUAAUGACCUUCUCCUAAUGACCUUUUCCAGUACAAAUUGUAGUUAUUUCUUCUGCUUCUGGAAAGAUUUGGGCUGAGGGCUAUCCAUUUUCUAUCUCAACCUCUGCCAAAAGCACUAGGGCCUUAAUUUUUCUUUUACCGACUGAUUCUUGUGGCUUGCCCAUGCAUCUUGGCGUGCAAAUGUGAUCAUCUCAAUUGAUUUGACUGACAUUUAUAAGUAUGUGGUGCAUGAUCUGAUUUUCUUCCUGCAUCUGUGCAUAAGCAAAAAAAAAAUUCUCAGCGGCUAGUGUUCAAGAACCCCAUGUGAUUUUAUAGCUAUAUUUUUGAAGCAAUUGCGACUAUUUGCUAUUGAAAAAUUAAAAAGACACUGUAUCUGUAUAAAUUGUAACUAACUGCUUGCCAAAUCCUAUGUCUCUCCUGAAACCACAUU
rnacentral:misc_RNA from 1 species